rnacentral:rRNA from 1 species
GACGAACGCUGGCGGCGUGCUUAACACAUGCAAGUCGAACGGAGAAGCGCCUUCCUUUUUGGUCGGUGUGGUUGAGCGGCGAACGGUUGAGUAACACGUGAGUAACCUGCCCCCUACCUCAGGAUAACCCCAUGAAAGAUUGUCUAAUACGGGCUAUUCUUUGUCAGUCGCAUGAUGGGUCUGGGAAAGCUUUUGUUUCGGUUGGCGAUGUGCUCGCGUCCUAGCAGCUUGUUGGGGGGGUGAGGGCCUACCAAGGCGGUGACGUGUAGCCAGCCUGGGAGGGUGGACGGUCACACUGGGGCGGAGACACGGACGGGGCUCGUAAGAGAGGCAGCAGUGGGGAAGAAUGCAGCAGGGGCGAAAGCCUGAUGCAGCAACGACGCGGGGGGGAUGGAGGCCUUUGGGUUGUAAGCCUCUUUCGGGAGUGAAGCGGGCCUGCCUCGUGUGUGAAUAAAUUGACGGUAGCUGGAUAAGAAGCGACGGCUAACUACGUG